AUUAUGACGUACUUGUACUGAUUGAGAUUUUAACACGAAGUGAGUGGCGAACGGGUGAGUAACACGUGGGUAACCUGCCCAGAAGUAAGGGAUAACACCUGGAAACAGAUGCUAAUACCGUAUAACAGAAAAAACCUGAUGGUUUUCUUUUAAAAGAUGGCUCUGCUAUCACUUCUGGAUGGACCCGCGGCGUAUUAGCUAGUUGGUGAGGUAAAGGCUCACCAAGGCAGUGAUACGUAGCCGACCUGAGAGGGUAAUCGGCCACAUUGGGACUGAGACACGGCCCAGACUCCUACGGGAGGCAGCAGUAGGGAAUCUUCCACAAUGGACGCAAGUCUGAUGGAGCAACGCCGCGUGAGUGAAGAAGGAUUUCGGCUCGUAAAGCUCUGUUGUUAAAGAAGAACGUGGGUAAGAAUAACUGUUUACCCAGUGACGGUAUUUAACCAGAAAGCCACGGCUAACUACGUGCCAGCAGCCGCGGUAAUACGUAGGUGGCAAGCGUUAUCCGGAUUUAUUGGGCGUAAAGCGAGCGCAGGCGGUCUUUUAAGUCUAAUGUGAAAGCCUUCGGCUCAACCGAAGAAGUGCAUUGGAAACUGGGAGACUUGAGUGCAGAAGAGGACAGUGGAACUCCAUGUG
rnacentral:rRNA from 1 species